rnacentral:tRNA from 1 species
UCCUCAGUAAUAUAGUGGUAAAUAUCCCCACCUGUCACGUAGGAGACCAGAGUUCAAUUCCCUGUCAGGGAG